UGGAAAAACAUCCGAAUUGCA
rnacentral:piRNA from 1 species